GACGAACGCUGGCGGCGUGCUUAACACAUGCAAGUUGAACGGGGAUAUUGAUUUCGGUUGAUAUCCUAGUAGCGGACGGGUGAGUAACGCGUGAGCAACCAACCUUUGUGAGGGGGACAACAGCUGGAAACGGCUGCUAAUACCGCAUGAGACCACGGUUUCGCAUGGAACUGAGGUAAAAGAUUUAUCGCACAAAGACGGGCUCGCGUCCCAUUAGCUAGUUGGUGAGGUAACGGCUCACCAAGGCAACGAUGGGUAGCCGACCUGAGAGGGUGAUCGGCCACACUGGAACUGAGACACGGUCCAGACUCCUACGGGAGGCAGCAGUGGGGAAUAUUGGGCAAUGGGCGCAAGCCUGACCCAGCAACGCCGCGUGAGGGAAGAAGGUCUUCGGAUUGUAAACCUCUGUCCUUGGGGACGAAAAAAAUGACGGUACCCAAGGAGGAAGCUCCGGCUAACUACGUG
rnacentral:rRNA from 1 species